rnacentral:rRNA from 1 species
CACGCCGCGGUAACACGUAGGGUGCGAGCGUUAAUCGGAAUUACUGGGCGUAAAGCGUGCGCAGGCGGUUCGUUAAGACAGAUGUGAAAUCCCCGGGCUUAACCUGGGAACUGCAUUUGUGACUGGCGAGCUAGAGUAUGGCAGAGGGGGGUAGAAUUCCACGUGUAGCAGUGAAAUGCGUAGAGAUGUGGAGGAAUACCGAUGGCGAAGGCAGCCCCCUGGGCCAAUACUGACGCUCAUGCACGAAAGCGUGGGGAGCAAACAGGAUUAGAUACCCCCGUAGUCCCUGUCUCUUAUACAC